UCAAAUACGUACAUUUCCAGGGCAUUUGC
rnacentral:piRNA from 1 species